AAACUUCCACCUGGGUAAAGCAAGUCCUCUGCUUCUCCCAACGGACCGUCUCCGGCAACUCUGUAACCCUCAACAGCUCCCAUGAGGAUCACUUGAGUGGCCCAGAUAGCUAAGAUACUCUGAGCGUGGACCAAGCUCGGGUUGCCCAAGUAAUCGAGCCCUCCUUCGCUGAAGAUCUGUGAACCGGCCUUGAACCAAACCGCUUCUCCGAACUUCACUCCGUUCCGAGCCAAGAGCUCAGGGAAAACACAUCCUAGGGCUCCGAGCAUGGCCCAUCUGCAGUGGAUAACUUCUAGCUCACGGUUCCUUGCGAAAGUCUCUGGGUCGGCGGAUAGACCGGCGGUGUCCCAUCCGUAGUCUCCGGGGAACUCACCGGUGAGGUAGCUUGGGGGCUCGCCGGAGAAUGGACCCAAGUACUUGACUCUGUCGGAUCCGUACCAUGGGCUGCCAGAUGGGCCUGUGGGCUUGGCGGUUUUGCGCAUGGUGACACGACCGGUUCCAAAUACUUCGGAGGCUGCCGGUGAGAGCUUCACGGCCUUUCCGGCGAAGGCAGGGGAGGACAGAGCCAUGGUUGAGGCAGCCAUUGGAAUUCUUCUUCUUUUUUUUCUUUUUUUGGUUUUUUUUUUUGUGACUGGUGAGAGUGAUUGAAAAUGGUUGGGGUAUAGAUCCAUUUUAUAGAAAUCUUAAGAAUGAGAUUUUGGAUAUGUCGUUUGGUUGUCCUAUGUGUCACUCUCUACUCCACCAACUUUUGGUUUAGAUUCUUUGAUUGCAAUGAAGACACUUGUGAU
rnacentral:lncRNA from 1 species